CCGCCCGUCACACCAUGGGAGUUGGAUUCACUCGAAGGCGUUGAGCUAACUCGCAAGAGAGGCAGGCGACCACAGUGGGUUUAGCGACUGGGUG
rnacentral:rRNA from 1 species